CAAAUAUCCACGUAACCUAUUUCUUUGUACACAUUUCUGAGUACCAGUAAGGUAUGUUCCUAGAAGCAGAAUCACCAGGCAGACCAAAGGGCAUGUGCAUUCAUUUGAUUCCGAUGGAUAUUGCUAAGCUGCUCUUUAUAAACGCUGUUCUUAUUUACACAGAUGCCGACAAUGCAUGAGAGUGGCUCCCAUCUUAGGCGAACACUGUGUGUUAUACAACUUUUUGAUUUACAUUAAUGUGAUAGAUGAGAAAAAUGGCAUUACGGUGUGGUUAUACCUCGCAUUUCACCCAUUGCAAGUAAGGUUAGAAAACUUAAUGUAUUUAAAAGCCAUGUGCACUUAAGGGAGCUUUAAAAUAUACAGAUCCUUGCAUCCCAUGCUCAAAAAACUAAUUCACUGAAUCCCAAAACUGUAUUUUUAAAAAGUGACUGGGGUAAGGAUUUCUUACAGAGAACGUAAAAAACACUAUCCAUGAAAGAGAAGCUGAUACACCAUCCCUUAAACUAUAAAUGUCCAUUCAUUAAAAGAGAAUGAAAAGUCAACCAACAGACUGGGAGAAGAUAUUUUCAAUAUAUAUAUUCUACAAAGAUCUAGGACCAGCAUAUAUGAAGACAGUCCUACAAAUCAACAAGAACAAUUAAAAAUCAACAACCGAUUUUUUUUUUUAGGUAAAAAAAGACACAGACACUUCACCAAUGAAGAUAAAUGAAUGACCAUAUACAUAUGAAAAGCUUGACUCAUAACUCAUCAGGGAAAGGUAAAUUAAAACCACAGCGACAUACGAUCACCAGUAGCACUCUCGUAUUCAACAAGCAACUUUCCAGGAAUUAAAGCUUUUCUUUGGCGUCAAUACUCCCAUGAGGGCUGACGUUAAGCCGCCAAGGUGACUUCGCUGAUUGAUCGCAUAAUGAGGAAGCGAUGUAGACAAUGGACGUUUACAAGCCACACAGGCUGGUUCCAGCACAUCACUGACACCACUACACAACUGCCGUGAAGGCUAAAAUGAAAAAGUCUGACCAUACCAAGUGCUGGCUUAGUUGCUAACAUCUAGAAGAAAACAGCUUCUGCUCUCUUUCUUCGUCCAAGAGGACAAGACCUCCUGACCAGAAAUCAAGGCACAGCUGAGGCUGACUGAGCAGAUGCUAUUCCCUGCACUGGAAGGGAGGGCCAGCAUCGGGCAUGACCUUUGCUCCUUGGUGCCGCCUCCUUCACCACCCACCGCCAGCCUGCUCGCCACCUUGGGGCCAUUAGCAUUUUUAAGGUUCUUAUUCCCAUACACAUCCUGCCCUGGGAUUGUCUCUUCCUCGAGAGAACGAGGAGGGGAGACGGAGUCGAGAUGAGACCUCAUAGGGUGAGGCUGGGUCAGAAAGGAUCGCCUUUGAGAACCAGGAGACACAGAGGCCAUGCCCUGGGUGGGUUCCAUUCUCCUCGCCCCCAACUCUUUUCCUCCACGCUCUCCAACCUGCCCAACUUCCACAGCCCAGGAUUCCUUUCUCCUAGGGGAGAAACAUCAGUGGUUCUAAAAUUUCCGAAUGAAAACCAUCCGUGAAGUCGUGCGUGGGAAAUGAAAUGCCAGUACAAGGGCGUCAGUGACUGUGGAGAAAUCAUGGCAUCUACACUCACCUGGGCUUCCUUUGGUCUGCCUCAUUAAUCAGCUCCCCAGGUCAUCGGGGUGUCUCGCCUCAGGCUCACAGGUCUGGUUUUUGUAUAAUACACAUUUCCCCCAGUUUUUAUUUCAUCUGCUUUUUUCAAGCAGCCUUUCCAUUAUUUCUGAACAUUUGAGUUAAAAAAAUGUAAAUUACAGACGCCUGUGGAUUGACGUAAUGUGAAAAGAAGGCGGCUGUUUCCCCUCCCUCCAAACAGGGACCAUGGUUUUUAAAACUAAUAAACCCCUUAAACCUCAUGAAGCCCACUUCAACCUUUUUAAAUGGCUAUUUUCAGAAAGGAAAAGGGAAAAAGAAGAAGCCAGGAAACAUGUUUGGGGCAAUGCCUUGGCAGGAGGGGGAAUGACCCCUGCCAGGGCAGAUGGCAUCUGCCCCUCCCUCAGGUCCAAGGUGGCAGCCCAUGAAGAAUCCGGGAGGGGAAAGCCUCCCACUCGUGGAAGAGCCUUGGAAGUCCUCAUAGAAAGGAGAGACUGAACGGACAGACGCAGGAGACAGGAACUUCAUGGUACAGAGAGGCUCUGGAGAAGGUGGGAGCAGAGGGAUUGAGAGCGACA